GCUUGCUUCACCAACCUAUAUACUAAAAUCAGAUGAUGUAGAGAAAAUCAACAUAGUCUCCGUGCAAGGAUGACAUGCAAACCUGUAAAGUAUUACAUAUUUUU